CGCGUAGGCGGUGCGGUAAGUCACCUGUGAAAUCCCCGGGCUUAACUCGGGGCCUGCAGGCGAAACUGCCGUGCUGGAGGGUGGGAGAGGUGCGUGGAAUUCCCGGUGUAGCGGUGAAAUGCGUAGAGAUCGGGAGGAACACCUGUGGCGAAAGCGGCGCACUGGACCACUACUGACGCUGAUGCGCGAAAGCUAGGGGAGCAAACAGGAUUAGAUACCCUGGUAGUCCUAGCCCUAAACGAUGAUUGCUUGGUGUGAUCGGUACCCAAUUCCGAUUGUGCCGCAGCUAACGCGAUAAGCAAUCCGCCUGGGGAGUACGGUCGCAAGGCUGAA
rnacentral:rRNA from 1 species